UAGGGAAUCUUCCGCAAUGGACGCAAGUCUGACGGAGCAACGCCGCGUGAGUGAAGAAGGAUUUCGGUUCGUAAAACUCUGUUGUUAGAGAAGAACAGCGCAUAGAGUAACUGUUAUGCGUGUGACGGUAUCUAACCAGAAAGCCACGGCUAACUACGUGCCAGCAGCCGCGGUAAUACGUAGGUGGCAAGCGUUGUCCGGAUUUAUUGGGCGUAAAGCGAGCGCAGGCGGUCGAUUAAGUCUGAUGUGAAAGCCCCCGGCUCAACCGGGGAGGGUCAUUGGAAACUGGUUGACUUGAGUGCAGAAGAGGAGAGUGGAAUUCCAUGUGUAGCGGUGAAAUGCGUAGAUAUAUGGAGGAACACCAGUGGCGAAGGCGACUCUCUGGUCUGUAACUGACGCUGAGGCUCGAAAGCGUGGGUAGCAAACAGG
rnacentral:rRNA from 1 species